UGCCAGACUCCUACGGGAGGCAGCAGUGGGGAAUAUUGCACAAUGGGGGAAACCCUGAUGCAGCAACGCCGCGUGAGUGAAGAAGUAUUUCGGUAUGUAAAGCUCUAUCAGCAGGGAAGAAGAAAGACGGUACCUGACUAAGAAGCCCCGGCUAACUACGUGCCAGCAGCCGCGGUAAUACGUAGGGGGCAAGCGUUAUCCGGAUUUACUGGGUGUAAAGGGAGCGUAGACGGCAGUGCAAGUCUGGAGUGAAAUCCAUGGGCUUAACCCGUGAACUGCUUUUGAAACUGUAGGGCUUGAGUGAAGUAGAGGCAGGCGGAAUUCCCGGUGUAGCGGUGAAAUGCGUAGAGAUCGGGAGGAACACCAGUGGCGAAGGCGGCCUGCUGGGCUUUAACUGACGCUGAAGCACGAAAGCGUGGGUAGCAAACAGGAUUAGAUACCCUCGUAAA
rnacentral:rRNA from 1 species